rnacentral:rRNA from 1 species
CCAGCCGCCGCGGUAAUACGGAGGGUGCAAGCGUUGUUCGGAAUUAUUGGGCGUAAAGGGCGCGUAGGCGGUAAUGUAAGUCAGAUGUGAAAUACUCCGGCUCAACCAGAGAAUUGCAUCUGAAACUACAUAACUAGAGUACAGAAGAGGGAAACGGAAUUCCCGGUGUAGAGGUGAAAUUCGUAGAUAUCGGGAGGAACACCAGUGGCGAAGGCGGUUUCCUGGUCUGAUACUGACGCUGAGGCGCGAAAGUGUGGGGAGCAAACAGGAUUAGAUACCCUGGUAGUCCACACUGUAAACGGUGAACACUAGGUGUGGGAGGUGUAAUACCUUCCGUGCCGUAGCUAACGCGUUAAGUGUUCCGCCUGGGAAGUACGGCCGCAAGGUUGAAACUCAAAGGAAUUGACGGGGGCCCGCACA